AUGGGGAAGGAAGACGACCCUUUCGCCGGGCUCUGGAGUGGGAAUGAUCUGGCCCUUGGGGGGAGCCUGUGCGCGAUGGUGGUAGCAAGGUAUCCUGCACUCCGGAGAUCCUUUAUCUCCUUCUCCGUGAUGGAGGAGGCCUCCCACUUGCCUUUGGACCAGAUCCAGCCAUGGUCGGAGGAGGUGGUGGUGGUGAGGAAGACGGAAACUUUUCGGGCACUGAGAGCUUGGGAGAUUGGAAGGCAGAGGAGACUGGAAGGCGUGAGGAAGAAAGGAGAAAUCCAUUGCCCUCUUAUAGGCAGUAAAAAUGCCAACCGUCCCCCCACUUGCGCCUUGAAACUCGCCUAUUCCCAAUGA
rnacentral:rRNA from 1 species